rnacentral:rRNA from 1 species
CGCUGGCGGCGUGCCUAAUACAUGCAAGUCGAACGGUCUUUCUAUGGAAGCUUGCUUCCACUGAGAAGAUAGUGGCGAACGGGUGAGUAACAACGUGGGUAACCUGCCCAUAAGAGGGGGAUAACAUCCGGAAACGGGUGCUAAUACCGCAUAGUUUUCUUGAUCGCAUGAUCGGGAAAGGAAAGACGGCCUUUGUGCUGUCGCUUAUGGAUGGGCCCGCGGCGUAUUAGUUAGUUGGUGAGGUAACGGCUCACCAAGACGAUGAUACGUAGCCGACCUGAGAGGGUGAUCGGCCACAUUGGGACUGAGACACGGCCCAAACUCCUACGGGAGGCAGCAGUAGGGAAUCUUCCGCAAUGGACGAAAGUCUGACGGAGCAACGCCGCGUGAGUGAAAGAAGGUUUUCGGAUCGUAAAACUCUGUUGUCAGAGAAGAACAAGUUGGAGAGUAACUGCUCCAGCCUUGACGGUAUCUGACCAGAAAGCCACGGCUAACUACGUGCCAGCCGCCGC